rnacentral:lncRNA from 1 species
GGACAAGGCAUUUUAACAUGAUAGAAAAUGUCCUUUCAGCCCAUUCCCAACUCAGCAGGCCGCUGGCAUGCACACAUGCGCACUUCCAAGUGUGUGUCCCAUGCUCAUGUGGCUAUGCUGUCUCGUAGUCUCCAAGUCACUGAGGGUCCCAUUGCUGGGGCUAGGUGUGGUAUGCAUGGUUCUUUCCCAGGAGAUGGAGGGAUGCCAGCCCUUUGCCUGGUGAGGUUUGGGACGAGGUCUUGCCGUAACCAGAUGCUAUGCUGCAAUGCCAGGAGUGGGCGCUGGAAGUCUGUGUAACCCCUUAGUGUCCUUUCCUACCCCUUCCCCACCCCUUUAGGCUAGAAUGUAAUGCCUUACUAUUCACACUGUGGUCCAAGUGCCAGCAAUGCCAGCCUCACCUGGGAGCUCCUUAGCAAUGCAUCACACUAGGUCCUACCCUGGACUUACUGUGUCAGAAACUCUAGGGUGGAUCCAGCUGUUGCGUUUGAACCUCUGGGUGAUUCUGAUGUACAUUUGAGUUUGCUGUAGAUGAACACAGGCUCUUCUAGGUCCCACUGACGUAUUGAAGCAGAAUGUGCAUGUUAACAGGAACCCAUGAUUUGUGUGCUCAGCACCGUUCAGAACCUGCUUCCUUGAUUGCACAUAUUCCAUUCCUACUGAGCUCUUCUAGGUAGGUGGGCAGCAAGGAGGAGCAGUAUAGACAGAGGCCUUGCUUUUAAAAAGCCUGCAUUCCAGGUGGAGGGUGGCAUGACAAUAAGAAGGGGGGAAAAGCAGGUAAAACAGUGGCAGAGUAAUGGCUCUAAAUCAAAGGAAACAGCCAGGUGGGAGGACAGGGGAGAGAGAGAGAGACAGAGACAGAGAGGAAGGUAGAGAGGCAGAGAGAGGGAAGUAGAGAGAGAGAGGAGGGACAAGGUAAAGACAGCAUGGCCAGUGAGGCCCCUCUCUAGGAGGAGCUAGCCUGUGCUCACCUGGGACCACGUUGCACAGAGGGUGUUGUGAGAUGACUGGGCUCACUGCGCAGUUUCUGACUCGUGGGGCAGGAAACCCAGUGUUCUCUUUUAGACAUGUCAUGGUGUAUGUGAGGAUGAGACGUCCCAGUGGGAACGUGGAGCUGGCAUUUGGGCCUGUGAGUCUGAAAUUCAGGGAAGUAGCCAGGGAUGAGGAUUUUAUUUUGGAAGGCAUCAUCAAGAGGUGCCAUUUGAUUGAAGUUAGCAAAUUGGUUCAGCCAUCCAAGGGACUCCACACUACCCAGCACACCACGAUUCCCAGCCUCCUUCUAGGACUCUCCCGAGCCCAGCCUGGGUCUGGCUGCUUCCCCCGAAGCAGGGCUGGCUUGCUGCUCUUUCCCACAGCACAGCC